rnacentral:rRNA from 1 species
AGCGAACGCUGGCGGCAGGCCUAACACAUGCAAGUCGAACGAACUCUUCGGAGUUAGUGGCGGACGGGUGAGUAACACGUGGGAACGUGCCUUUUGGUUCGGAAUAACUCAGGGAAACUUGCGCUAAUACCGAAUGUGCCCUUCGGGGGAAAGAUUUAUCGCCAUUAGAGCGGCCCGCGUCUGAUUAGCUAGUUGGUGAGGUAACGGCUCACCAAGGCGACGAUCAGUAGCUGGUCUGAGAGGAUGACCAGCCACACUGGGACUGAGACACGGCCCAGACUCCUACGGGAGGCAGCAGUGGGGAAUCUUGCGCAAUGGGCGAAAGCCUGACGCAGCCAUGCCGCGUGAAUGAUGAAGGUCUUAGGAUUGUAAAAUUCUUUCACCGGGGACGAUAAUGACGGUACCCGGAGAAGAAGCCCCGGCUAACUUCGUG